rnacentral:rRNA from 2 species
GAACGCUGGCGGCGUGCCUAAUACAUGCAAGUCGAACGAACUCUGGUAUUGAUUGGUGCUUGCAUCAUGAUUUACAUUUGAGUGAGUGGCGAACUGGUGAGUAACACGUGGGAAACCUGCCCAGAAGCGGGGGAUAACACCUGGAAACAGAUGCUAAUACCGCAUAACAACUUGGACCGCAUGGUCCGAGUUUGAAAGAUGGCUUCGGCUAUCACUUUUGGAUGGUCCCGCGGCGUAUUAGCUAGAUGGUGGGGUAACGGCUCACCAUGGCAAUGAUACGUAGCCGACCUGAGAGGGUAAUCGGCCACAUUGGGACUGAGACACGGCCCAAACUCCUACGGGAGGCAGCAGUAGGGAAUCUUCCACAAUGGACGAAAGUCUGAUGGAGCAACGCCGCGUGAGUGAAGAAGGGUUUCGGCUC